ACCUGCAGCAUAUGAAAGUUCCCAGGAUGGAGGUCGAAUUGGAGCUGUAGCUGCCAGCCUACACCACAGCCAUAGCAACAGCAGGUCUGAACCGUGUCUGUGACCUACGCCACAGCUCACGGCAACACCAGAGCCUUAACCCACUUAUCAAACCCAGCGUCCUCGUGGAUACUAGUAGAGUUUGUUACCACUGAGCCAUGACAGAAACUCCUAUAGAGCUUUCAACUCUAUAGGAGUUGAAGUGGGGCUCUAGCCUCACUGUGCUGUGACACCUUGGAUUAAGAAUCCCACUGCAGCAGCUUGGGUCACUGUCGAGGUACAGGUUCAUUCCCCAGCCUGGUGCAGUGGGUUAAAGGAUCUGGCCACAGCUGAGGCUGGGCUUCAAUACCUGGUCUGGGAAUUUCCAUCUUCCAUGGGUGCGCCCAUUAAAGAAAAGAAAGAAAAGUCUCUAGGAAGAUCCUAUCCUACUCUUUCUCCCAAACCUGUUUUUUUUUUUUUUUUUUUUUUUUUUCCGCCUGAACCCCUGGGACCUUUGUGAUUAAGUAAAAUGAUUCCUAAGCAAUAAACAGCAUGCCUCACCAAAUUCCCGAUUUAUAGAGGAGACAUGAAUGAGAUGCCGUAAUUUUAUAAAGAGUGUUUGGAGAAGGAAGCAAGAAUACGGCAUCCAUUCAUUCACUCAUUCACUGAACAUAAUUUAAACAUUAUGGGACAGUUACUAAGCCAAGUCAUUGUGUUGGUACCCAGGGGACAUAAGACAGACAUGGAUCUUAUUCUCAAUGCCUAAAUUUUCCAAUGAUUAUUGUCUUUCCCUGUUGUUGGCCAAGUUCCACCUCUCAGUCUGAACCAUUCAUUACAGCCUGACACAGCCAGCCCUGUCCCUGGAAUGACCCUCUGGAUGCUACUUCCCUGAUGGGUGUAGGAAAGUCAGGAUCCCUGUGGAUUGGCCAAACAAUCACUCAGGAAAGAAUAGUCUCCCCGUUCCUGUUCUCUCCCACCCUUCUCAGUGAGCUGUAAGGAAAUGGAGAAAUAAUGGGCUGGGAUUAGCCCCAGGAUCCUUCAAUAAACAGCUCCCCCUUAAUAAACUGCUCCUACACACCCCUCUCGUAUGUUAAAUGGAAAGAAAAUGAGCGGGUUAGAUCUCUUGCAGUUUCAAAAGAGAAUUGAGUUCAAUUCUAUACGAUAGAUGCUUAGUUACAUCAUAAACAACGGUAUGGGAACACGGAGAUCUGCCAGAGAGACAAACUGUUCCUAAAAGUAAAAAACCCUGAUGUGCAAACAGAUAUUAGCAAAUAAGCAGCUUGUUCCCCAGAUGCUGGGAGGCCAAAUUUCCCUGAAAGGGAAGAAGUCCUAGAAAGUGAAGGACUGGCCAGAGGCUCAGGCUGAUGUCGAUCACCUGCCCAAAGUCUGGUACGUAGUAGGUACACUCUAUAUGUGGUUUGCAGCUGUCCUAGUGGGUGACAUUUGAUAGUUCCACAGGGUACGUGGUGCUCCGGCCCUUUAGCACAGUGCCUGGUUUAGUCAUUCAGAUUUUGAUGAACAAGGAAUCUUGGGGGACCCUUGCUCUAUAUAAAUGGACCAGUCCUAUAUGAUAAUAUAAAAGGCACCACGUGAUCCUGUCUGCUUAAACAAACAAAACAAAACUCUUCCACCAGCCACAGAGGUUUUACUAAAAUUUGCAAAUGCACAGAGCAUUUACUGCCCUAGAGCACUAUCUUAUGGUGAAGGACCACAGUGAGCCUGGGAUGAUAUUUGCCUUCUAGAAGCUACAUUUUAGGAUGUGCCUGUGUGUGUACUUGGGUAGAGAGGACAGGGAUCCAUUAAUAAGUAUUACGAAAGAACACAGGGAAUCAUGGAGGAAGGAAAUUCAUAUUCCUUGGAGAAUCUAGAAAGGCAUCUUGAAGGAGAUGGAAUUGAGCUGAGCUUAAAGGAAGGGGUGGGGUACAUAUUCCAAGAAAAAGGAAUCUCUGGACAAAGUAGAAAUUUAUGGCACUGGAGAGCAUAUUUAGGAAAAGGCCAGAAGAGCCUGUAAGAGACCAAUGAGCUGUCUGUCUGCACUGUGAGGCUGUGGGUGCCUCCGUGGCCAAGAAAGUAGCACUGGUUUAAGACCGUCACAAGCCCUAAGUAUAGAAAUUUGAUUACAAUGCUCUCCAUGUGCUACAAGUUUGAUCCCUUAAAAAAAAAAAAAAGAAAAAAAACUCUUUAAAAAUUUUUUAAAAAGAAAAAAUAAUCUGAUUUGGAGAUUCUGGAGUUAGACUAGAAGCAGCUCUGCUGCAGGGAAAAAUGAACUCUGGGAACUCAGGGGAUUAAGACUCAUGCAUUUGGUUGGGGCAGCUCCCAGAGGCAACACUCUUUCAAGUGGUGACUUCAGAUUCAAGGCUCCUUGCAAACAGCGACUCUGCCAUCCACUAGAGCCUCCUUGACCCUCUACUGACCCUCUGCAUUCAGCUGUCCAACCACCAGAGAGAGAGGUCAUGGCACAUUGCCCAGGUAGGGGGCAAAUCACACCCAUCCCCCAUUCUAAGUGCCAGAGCUAGUCUCCUGGCCCCAUCCACCCUGUCUCUGCAGAGACCAAAAAUGUAGAGAACCAUACAUGCAUUCCUUUCCUGUGGCUGUUGUAACAAAUGAUUACACACCUAGUGGCUUAAGAAAACAUAAAUGUACUAUCUUAUAGUUCUGUAGGUUAGAAAUCUGAUAUGGGUCUCACUGGGCCAAGACCAAGGUGUCACCAGGACUGUAUUCCUUCUAGAGGCUCUAGAGGAGACUGUUUUCUUGCCUUUUCCAGCUUCUAGAUGCGGCCCACAUUCCUUAGCUUGUGGCGGCCUUCUUCCACCUCGAAGCCAGGAACAGUGCAUUUCUUACAAAUGUUGACACCUAACUUAAUGAAUAUUUUUUAUGAAUAUUAUUUUGAUUCUUAAUAGUCAAUGUUUAUGCUGUUGUAGCUAUUGCAUUCUCUUUCCAUAUUUCCACUCUUAUUAUUAUUUUUUUUUCACAAUUCCAAAGUAAGACUGCAUGUGAUACCUGGUUGAAUUUACUUAAGGUAGUUCCCUAAAUUUGUUUAAAAUUUCACCAAAAUCUUACCCCACAUUUCAGCAUUGAAAUGAAAGUUUCUGGUGCAUAGAAGUUCAUGCAGACACACCUAGGAGAAGCGAAACAAAGUUUGUUUAAAAAAAAAAAAAGGAAUGAGCACCUUUCCACAGGUUUUGGAAAAGCAACAACAACAGUGUCCUUUAGACCUAAGUUGGUCCAGACACAUACAGUGAAAUUAGAAGCAGUAAACAUCCAGGCAGAACAAUUUGGUGUAACUGACUUGUCCAUCGUGAAGGACUCAGACUCUAUAAACAUGAAUCUGACAAAACGGCCUGGCUGAUUUUUUUCAAGAGGAAAUGUUUAACUAUCCUCAGUAUAUAACUUAAGAAGAAAACAAAAUAUCUGCUUAAUCCAAUAAGGAAAUGCAGAACAGACACAGGUAUUCCUUUAUAUACCUCAAGUUCAAGAUCAGUAUUAAAUCUCCAAAAGCAGUAAAGCUCCCCCAAGACAGCAGCUUCUCACUGCAAUGCUCUGCAUAGCUGCCAAGGCCUAAAGGAAAUAACAAGAACUUAUAUGAAGAAAGACAUAUUUUGCUCUAGUUCAUAAAUCAAAUAAAUUCUGUAUACGUUUAAUGUUUCUUUUUUCCCAAAAAAGUUUUUUCUGCAUCAGUGAGGUGACUUAAAGAAUUAAGAGUAUUUGCAGCAAUUCGCUUGUGACACCUCUGUCAGCACUGAUUGCCAUACACCAUGAACAAGAAACAAAUGUCCAUGGACUUCAAUGCCCUUUCCAUGUGCGAUGCUUCAGAUGCUUCAUUAUCAUAUGGGCCCUGAGUCUGUGGUGACCCAGAGCCAGUUUGCACCAGCUCUUAAGAACCAUUGUACGUAUUUUCCCAACACCAGGUUCAAGGACAUCUCAUGGUUAAUUUGAAAUGGCCACAGUGAGUGUUUACAACACCACUGCCAAAAAAAAAAAAAAAAGUCAAAUACUGCAAAUGAGACUAUUUUCUAUUAUUUACUUCCGAGAGCCAACUGCUAAGCCCACACUGGCUCCAAAUCUGCUUUCAGGACUUAUGUGGGCCAACCAUCCUUCUAAAUCCUAUUGGUUCUGUUGUUUAGUGAGACUUCAGGAUUAAGAGUUUUGAAAUCCUACGGCUUUUAGUAGUUUUAUCAACAACAACAAAAAUAGAUUUCUACCUAUUACUUAAGAGGAAGUGCUUUGAAUCCUGCUUUCUUUGCUAGAAUAAGGACAGGAAUCUUCUUCCUUCUUGUUAACGGAUGUAUCCCAACAACCUGACAGCACAUGGUAAGUGCUCCAUAAAUAUUUGCUGAGUAAAUGAAUCAGAUUUACCCAAAGCUGGACCACUGCCUUCCCAGUAGGUGAUUCCACCAGGCUUUCUUUGUCAUUAGUAUUGCAAAAUCUCUAUGGGGGGAAAAAAAAAGAGUAAAACUCCUGCCAAUAACUCCUUCUUCUGCAUGCUCAUAAUAAUUUAGAAAGUACAUACGUUAUACAGUAGCAUUUAUCUACAUCAUCUCUUUUUUAUUAUACAUAUUGUGACACCUCCAUGCUAAUAGCAGCUCCAAAAAUGUGAGUGAAUUUUGUUUUAAGGUAUGUUUCUGUUUUAAAAAUAUUUCAUUUAUAGUUUUAUUAUUUAUUUCCAUGAAUAUAUCACAUAGAAAGGACUUAUCUUUGGUUGUGCCUCUUAGCCCAGUGCAAGCCCAUUUGCAACAGGUGUGAUGGCCAAGCCUGCACUCCAAGUCUCAUUGCCUCCUGUGUCCUUGGUCUGGGCAAGAGUUCAGGCUCAGCACAUGUUUAUGAAAGCAACAGUGCUGACUUUGCCUUUCAAAACUCUGGAGAGAUUUCAGCAAACCUCAAAGGAAGAAAGGCUGAGUUUCUUCCUACA
rnacentral:lncRNA from 1 species